AUAGCGUAUAUUAAAGUUGUUGCAGUUAAAAAGCUCGUAGUUGAACCUUGGGCCUGGCUGGCCGGUCCGCCUCACCGCGUGCACUGGUCCGGCCGGGCCUUUCCUCCUGGGGAGCCGCAUGCCCUUCACUGGGUGUGUCGGGGAACCAGGACUUUUACUUUGAAAAAAUUAGAGUGUUCAAAGCAGGCCUAUGCUCGAAUACAUUAGCAUGGAAUAAUAGAAUAGGACGUGUGGUUCUAUUUUGUUGGUUUCUAGGACCGCCGUAAUGAUUAAUAGGGAUAGUCGGGGGCAUCAGUAUUCAAUUGUCAGAGGUGAAAUUCUUGGACCGC
rnacentral:rRNA from 1 species